GGGUUUUUUGAGGGUUAAGGUGAGGGAGGCUAAGGAAAGUGGAAGUGUAAAGCUGAGGAGGUAAGAGCAUUCCUAGAAAACGAAGAGUUUUGCAAAAUUUGAUGUGGAACUUGUACUAAAUCAUGAUGGGAAUGGUGAUGUUGAGAAGAGAAGGUUUAACUGUUAGUAGUAGCUUUACAAGAAAGACUUUGGGUUGGCCCCUGGAUUUUAUGAUACUGAUCCUUACCCUUUAAAGGCCUGAGACUGCUUCUGCAGGUACAUGGGAACAGGGGUUGCCAUGGAGAAAGGGGAUAAGCAAAGGGAGCGGAAAAGGAAGAAAAGGAGAAAAGGCAAUAAAGAGGACAAAAAUGGAAGCUAAGCCAAAUGGCAGAGCCCUGACAGCAAAGCCAGGAGUUCUCAGUGCCACAGAUUAUGUGAGGAACUGCUAAAGAAGCAAUUCCGCAAACCUAGGUAAGGAGAGCUUGAGCACCCCGGGGCCUGGCUUUUGUAGCAGGGCCACUUCAAGGUCUGCGACCAGAGGCAUCAGCGCCUGCUGGUCCAGGCAGGGCUCCUGCGUACCUGGAACUGCACAGAGAGGGGCUGACACCGAAGAGCAAACCGCUCCUACAGACCGAGCGGAGGCAAUGUGCGUUCCCACGUCCCCCCCUGGCCUCCGGAUCGCUCCGGGCCGUAAUGAGCCGCCGCUCCGCGGUGGGCAGCGUCCUGCCGGAAUCCGCUCCAUCGGGCCCAUCGCAGGCGGCCGGGCCGCAGAGCAGAGGCGGGCUGCCCACGGCAGCCCCGUGACUGCAGGCGUCGCACGCGGGGCGGGACUCAGACGCGGAGCUCGCCGGGGCAGCGCGC
rnacentral:lncRNA from 1 species